rnacentral:rRNA from 1 species
GAGGGGGAGCUAGGUCUGGUCCGAGGCUGGGGCCACGGGGGACGUAUGGAGCGGCAGCCACAAGGGGCUGCAGCAAGCAGCAGAGACCGCGGUGGGGCGGUAGCGACGGAGCUGGGGCAGCGGGCGGAGGGGCAGGAGUGGGGAGAGGAGCUAGGUCUUGACCUAGUCCCGUGCUGGAGCUGCGGCAGGCUGCGGCGGACGGCCUCGGUGGAGCGGCCUCGGAGAGACGGAGCUGGUGCAGUAGGGGUAGGAGGAGGAGCGGCCUGACGAACAGGAACGGAGUAGGGGCUUAGUGAAGUAGCGCGGAGCGGUGGCUAGGGGACGUGGCGGGUGGGACUCUGACGGCCACUGGGGGUCAAGCUGAUGCCUCAACUACUGGGGAGGAAGAACGGUCUCGUUGGUCUACAACCUCGGAUCCUAGGUCUGCGGUGGUAGCUAUUGCUGAGGAUGAUGUGACCUCCACGGAUGAUGAUACACGUCCGGCGACUACUGCUGGUCCUCAUCAAAUCCUCCUAGGGUCCGUCCUCCGGAUGCGGAGAAAGCUAGACAUAGGGUCAAACACGAUCGGUAGAAUGCCGUUGAACAAAUUGAAUACAGACAUGAGUCUAUAACAACGAAGGCGACUGAGCAAAUACAAGCUCGUGAACAUAAGCUCGGGAGCUCCGGGGAC